UCCUGGGUAUUUCUAAUUUCUGUUGCUAAAUAUCUAAGAUCGUAGUCUGAUACAUGUCAGUGUUUUAUAUCCUUUUGAUAUGAUACCAGUCAUAAAACUUUGUUUAGUUCUUUAAUGGAGCCUUCUCAAUGUUAUCUCUGGUGCCGACCUUAUUUGAUGGGAAAAAGGUAAUCAUAGAUAUUGAUGAUGGUACUUUUGAUAUCAGUUAUGUAUUUCUAAAUCAAAACACGGAUUUCAAACUGGGAGGAAAAUGAUCAGGACUUCAUAUAUUUCUUCAUGGGCAUCUGCUUCAAUGUAAUCAUAGAUAGUCCAGUACUUGAUCACUUUUCCUUUCAUUAUUUUGAAAAGUAGCCACCUAGGCUGUGGAGGCAGCAACCCGAGCUUAGGUGGUCACCUGGCCUUCCACUUAGUACCAAAACACUUUGGCAGAUCUUAUAUGUUGACCGACCACCUUGCAAGAACCUCGAUGGCAAGGGGAACUAGUAUACACAAUAUCAUGGAGUUGUCAAUAUAUUAGGCCUGUUAGUUGAGUGGGUUAGAUAUCUUUAUUAUGGUACUCUAUCUUUCUUAGCUACAGCCAACCAAAUUCACUAAUACUUGAUUAGUUGCUUAUACUCGAUUUUGGAUUCAUUAGUCAUUAUAUGGUUGAACCUCUUGUUGCAUCAGUUCAUUUGAAGUAUUCAACAUGUUUCUUUUAAGAUUAAUUACCAUUGUUGCAUAACAGUAAACAUAUCAUGUCACACUAAAAUAGGUUUUGAAUAAAUUAAAAAUUCUAUAAUUAUGAAGAUUCUUUGUAAGAAUCUUUGGUGAGUGGCCACCGAGGAGGAGGGGCAGAUGUGUGCGUUUAUGAAUGCACAGAAGCUUAAGGGAGGAAGAGGGGUGGAUGAUAUUGUUAAUGAUAGGAGAGUUUCCUAGCAGCCUAACUGUUAGUACUCAGUAGAGUGCUGUUUCUACUUUCAAGAUGUCAUUUUGUCUUGAAUUUCAAAUAUUUCUCAUCAUAUAGUUGAUAUGAAUUGCUUUAACCUGAAUGAGUAAUUCCUUGUCCUGUUCCUUGGUUAACGCCACUAAUUUUCAUCAGCAGAUGAAGUUUCCAUGUGUCUGUGAGAACUUACAGUGCAGGUCAUUUUAGUUAAAACUGUUUCCAGUCUUAAAUGUUUGCAGUCAAAAUUUCAGAUCACCUGGAGAUCUUUAGUACAGUUCCAUGGUCAAUGUUAGUUGAUGAAGGUUUUUUUUGUUUGCCCCUCUGAGCUGUCUAAAGUUGGUUAUUGUGUUGUUUGAAGUUGUUGCAAAUGUUUCUUCUGAGUCU
rnacentral:lncRNA from 1 species